CCUGGUUGAUCCUGCCUUUAGUCAUAUGCUUGUCUCAAAGAUUAAGCCAUGCAUGUGUAAGUAUGAACUAUUUCAGACUGUGAAACUGCGAAUGGCUCAUUAAAUCAGUUAUAGUUUGUUUGAUGAGUACGUGCUACUUUCGGAUAACCGUAGUAAUUCUAGAAACUAUCGUGCAACAAACCCGACUUCGGAAAGGGAUGCAUUUAUUAGAUAAAAAAAAAGGCGUGGGCUUUGCCCGCUGCUCCGAUGAUUCAUGAUAACUUCGAUGGAUCGCCGCGGCCCUCAUGCGGCGACGCAUCAUUCAAAUUUCUGCCCUAUCAACUUUUCGAUGGUAGGAUAGGGGCCUACCAUGGUGGUGGCGGGUGGCGGAGAAUUAGGGUUCGAUUCGGAGAGGGCACGAGCGGCUACCACAUCAAGGGAAGGCAGCGGUAGCGCCAAAUUACCCAAUCGACGCGGGGAGGUAGUGACAAUAAAUAACAAUACCAGGCUCUUGAGUCUGGUAAUUGGAAUAAUUACAAUCUAAAUCCCUUAAUGAGGAUCCAUUGGAGGACAAGUCUGGCCCGGCGGUAGCGGUAAUUCCACUCAAUAAGCGUAUAUUUAAGUUGUUGCGUUUAAAAAGCUCGUGGUUGGACUUUGGGGCCGGUCGGUCGGUCCGCCUCGCGGUGUGCACGGUCGUCCCAUCCCUUCUGUCGGCGAUCGUGCCUGGCCUUAACUGGCGGGUGGUGCCUCCGUAUUGUUACUGAAGAAAUUAGAGUGCUCAAAGCAAGCCCACUCUCUGGAUACAUUAGCAUGGGAUAACAUCACGGGAUUUAGGGUCCUAUUGUGUUGGCCGGGAUCGGGAGUAAUGAUUAAGAGGGACGGUCGGGGGCAUUAAAAUAUUCAUAGUCAAAGGUGAAAUUCUUGGAUUUAUGAAAAACGAACCACUGCGAAAGCAUUUGCCAAGGAUGUUUUCAUUAAUCAAAAGCGAAAGUUGGGGGCUCGAAAAGCGAUCGAGAUACCGUCCUAGUCUCAACCAUAAGCGAUGCCGACCGGGAUGGCGGAUGUAACUCUUAGGACUCCAUGGGCACCUUAUGUGAAAUCAAUGUCUUUGGGUUCCGGGCGAGUAUGGUAUAAAAAUUUGAAACUUAAAAGGAAUUGUGGAAGAGCACCACCGGGGUGGAGCCUGCGGCUUAAUUUGACUCAACCGGGAAACUUACCAGGUCGACAUAGCAAGGAUUGACAAACUGAGCUCUUUCUUGAUUCUAUGGGUGGUGCAUGGCGUUCUUAGUUGGUGGAAGCGAUUUGUUUGGUUAAUUCCGAUAGCGAGCGAGACCUCGGCCUGCUAACUAGCUUCUGUGGAGGCAUCCCUCGCGGCCAGCUUCUUAGAGGACUAUGGCCGUUUAGGCCCGCGGAAGUUGAGGCAAUAACAGGUCUGUGAUGCCCUUAGAUGUUCUGGGCGCCGCAGCGCGCUACACUGAUGUAUUCAGCGAGUCUAUAGCCUUGGCCGACGGGCCGGGUAAUCUUUGAAAAUUUCAUCGUGAUGGGGAUAGAUAAUUGCAAUUUUGGUCUUCAACGAGAAUUCCUAGUAAGCGCGAGUCAUCAGCUCGCGUUGACUAUAUCCCUGCCCUUUGUACACACCGCCCGUCGCUCCUACCCAUUGAAUGAUCGGUGAAGUGUUGGAUCGAUGGUGAGGCGGUUCGCCCAUUGGGAGUGGCGUCGCGAAAGUCCACUGAACCUUAUCAUUUAGAGGAAGGAGAAGUCGUAACAAAGGUUUCCGUGGGUAAACCUGCGGAAG
rnacentral:rRNA from 1 species